AAAUAUAUUCAGAUUCAAGUCCAUGAAAAUGAAGAUUAAAUUAUACUUGCCUGUUUAUAGCUGGAAAUUAGCUGACAUUGGUCGAAAUACAUAACACUGCUGAUUGGCCAGUAAAUUAUCUAUUAGAAGAGUUAGAUUAGCCAAUUUGAAGCAAGCAUCCAACACAAUAUUCUCUGGAUAAACAUGUCUUGCAGUACUUUCUAUUGCAAGAUAAGUAGGUUCUUGCACCUCCUUCACACAAAUGUAUUAUGUGAUUCUUUGACAUGUGAGUUAGAUCACAGUGGAGUAGAUAGAGAUGUUGGGCACAUAGCACAUUCCACAUAUUCCAGUCUGAGAACUAUGCAAGCCGUCUUGCAUUCAUCUGAGAAAAAAAGGGC
rnacentral:lncRNA from 1 species